AAAUUUAAACCAAAAUCUCGAUGACACCGAUGCACGAAGCCGACGGGGAAAAACUUGCAGCAAAGGUCAAAAUAAUCGAACUUCACACUUUCCGAAUCCGAUAAUCCAAAAGCCAUAAAUUUCUGACCCUUCACACCGCCGAAGAGCCGAAGGAAUCGAACAGGAAUGAGCGGUCGAUCACGUCGGUUUCCGUCGUUCUUCUCCGGCUCAGCUUCUGGAUUCAAUUGAAUCACCAUCGUCUUCUUCAACCUCCUUAAUCGGAAGAAUACUGCUAUUGAUUCCAUUAUCUUUCUCUUCUGGAUAUUUCUAUUUGUUUCCUUUUCACACGAACUCGUUGUUGAUGGCUUUGGCGACUAAUAUGAGAAGAAAUGCAUGCGUCGUCACCAAUUGGCUUGUAGCGUCUGGAAAAUUAAAUUUCCUAUCGGUGGGAUCUGAAAAUCCAUCUUUCUCCAUCAUCAGAAAAAUGAAUGGUCUUAGAAUCUUUGGGAAUCAACUGGAGGCUUCAAGAACGUAUGCUACUUCUUGUGCUAAGUUGUCGGAUGAAAUCCAGAAAGAGAAUUCAGACUCUAAUAUGUUGGUUGAUUCAUUUGGAAGGAUGCACACUUACUUAAGGAUAUCACUGACAGAACGGUGCAACUUGCGAUGUCAGUACUGUAUGCCUGCAGAAGGUGUAGAUCUGACUUCCAGCCCGAAGCUUCUUACUCGGAAUGAAAUUAUUCGAUUGGCUAAUCUUUUUGUAAGCUCUGGUGUAAAUAAAAUUCGCUUGACUGGUGGGGAGCCUACUAUUAGGAAAGAUAUUGAGGAUAUAUGUUUCGAACUGUCUAAUUUAAAAGGUUUGAAAACAUUGGCUAUGACCACGAAUGGAAUAGUGCUUGCAAGAAAACUUCCCAAGCUUAAAGAAUGUGGGCUUUCGGCUAUUAAUAUUAGUUUGGAUACAUUGGUGCCAGCAAAGUUUGAAUUCAUGACCCGGCGCAAGGGGCAUGAAAAGGUUAUGGAAUCUAUCAAUGCUGCAGUAGACCUUGGUUACAAUCCUGUUAAAGUGAACUGUGUUAUAAUGCGUGGUUUCAAUGAUGAUGAGAUUUGCAAUUUUGUUGAGUUGACUCGUGAGAAACCAAUUAAUAUUCGAUUCAUUGAGUUUAUGCCCUUUGAUGGAAAUGUUUGGAAUGUUAAGAAACUGGUACCCUACUCAGAAAUUUUGCAAACAGUGGCUAAAAACUUCACAAACCUUACACGACUUGGAGAUCAUCCUACAGAGACAGCAAAGAAUUUCAGGAUAGAUGGGCACCAGGGUAGCGUUUCGUUUAUCACAUCAAUGACAGAGCAUUUUUGUGCUGGUUGCAAUAGAUUGCGACUUUUAGCAGAUGGAAACUUCAAAGUCUGCUUGUUUGGUCCCUCGGAGGUUAGCUUGAGAGACCCACUUCGUCAAGGUGCUGAUGAUAACGAGCUAAGGGAAAUAAUUCGUGCAGCGGUAAGAAGAAAGAAAGCUUCACAUGCUGGAAUGUUCGAUAUUGCAAAGACUGCAAACAGACCCAUGAUACAUAUUGGUGGCUAGUCUAAGCUUGAUGUUUCAGGUUCCAUGUCCGUCCAACUAGCUUGACUGGAGUACAAACCUGUUGGUGUAUAUGGAAACUGUAAAGAAACCGAAGUCAAACCUGUAGUGACAAUAUGAAGAAGCCUGGAAAAAGGAAAGAAAAAUCUCGAUUUGGUUUGGUUUCGUUCAGGGAGGGUGGAAACUACCAUCAAACAUGAGGGAAAUUGGAGGGAGCUUCAAUAGUCCGAGACCGGACCCGUCGAAAACUGAGAGAUCGGUUUGUAUUUUUGGAGAAUAGUUGAGAAGACUUUGAAAGAAUUAGAUAGAGUUGAAUGUGCACAAAGAUGAGGGUUACUUUGAUUAGCCUAAGCUUCAUCAACGCAUGAUCCGAAGAGACGGUAGAGUCGUGGAAGUUUCAAAGGUAGUAGUUUUAGUGUUUAUGCAUGUUCGUUCAAUUUCAUUCUACAACAAAAGCAAUUGAAUUUACAGUACUAACAGACUAUAUAAAAAAAAACCUAUUAUUUUUGCCAAAAUUAAGGAUAUUUACAAAUUUGAAGGUAUGAGGUCAAAUUGAAAGAGAUGAAAUUUCAUUAUUAAAAAAGAUUAGAUAUAAGGUCAAAUUGUUUUGAAAAUUCAAACUUCUUUGUCACCCCUUUAUAAUUAUGUCAGUGUAAUAUCUUUUGAGGAACUUAUAUUAUAAUCCAAUUCUCUAAAUUUCA